rnacentral:tRNA from 1 species
UCCUGGUGGCUCAGAGGUUAAAGCGUCUGCCUGCAAUGCAGGAGACCUAAGUUCGAUCCCUGGGUCGGGAA